rnacentral:rRNA from 1 species
GUGGGGAAUAUUGGGCAAUGGGCGCAAGCCUGACCCAGCAACGCCGCGUGAGGGAAGAAGGUUUUCGGAUUGUAAACCUCUGUCCUUGGUGACGAAGGAAGUGACGGUAACCAAGGAGGAAGCCCCGGCUAACUACGUGCCAGCAGCCGCGGUAAUACGUAGGGGGCAAGCGUUGUCCGGAAUGACUGGGCGUAAAGGGCGUGUAGGCGGCCGAUUAAGUCUGGAGUGAAAGUCCUGCUUUCAAGGUGGGAAUUGCUUUGGAGACUGGUUGGCUUGAGUGCGGAAGAGGUAAGUGGAAUUCCCAGUGUAGCGGUGAAAUGCGUAGAGAUUGGGAGGAACACCAGUGGCGAAAGCGACUUACUGGGCCGUAACUGACGCUGAGGCGCGAAAGCGUGGGGAGCGAACAGGAUUAGAUACCCCUGUAGUCC